ensembl:lncRNA
AUGAGGAGAUUCAGGCCGCAGGGUACGAGCACCCCGAGGACCAGGGGGAGGCAGAAGCAGCAGCCGAAGGGCACUCAGAGACAGGAGAGCCAACUGGUUCUUUUGAUGGCAGUGAGCCUGGGUCCCCUCUGCCAGAACCUGCUGCUGCUUCAACUUCCACUGCCGGCCCUUCAACAUCUGCUGCUGUCCCAACAGGAGUGUACAGGCAAUAAUGACCAUGUUUACAUGCAUAUUAUAUUUACACACCACCAAGAAGAAGAGCUCAGAGAAGGCCUGGGGAGCAGCCAUCUGAGGUGGAGCGUCAGCUCCUAGAAGCUCUCCGGACCCGUCCUGUAGCUCCAGCGCCACCUCCACGCUCAGAGGAUGAGCUCUUCCUCUCAAGUCUGGUCCCUUCCCUGCAGAGGUUGCCACCUCAAAUAAUUCAUCAAAUUUCAAAUACAUAAAUUAAUUUAUGAAAGCGGUACAGUUCUGCUUAAUUUGGAACAAUUGGAGCCUAAAGAUUAGUUUUUAAGAAAGAGGCAGCAAUGAACUAGACUUUCUCUCCUUUCUUCUCUCCUUCACUUUGGCCCUCACUCUUCCCUCUUCCAAGCAAGAUCCUUUUUAUUCCUGCAUGUAAAUAGUUGUAAAUGUUCUUUGUGUGUGUGUGUGUGUGUGUGUGUAUGUAUAUAUAUAUGAAGAGUUCAGAUGCAAAACCCUCUAAAAGCCAUCUGAAAUUUUCUUCUGAAAUAAGCAUUUUUAUCAAGCUCCUGUGUUUAUGUUAAGUUAUUUCACUUUAAUGGCAAUGAGAAGAAAUUAUUCAAUGACAUUAA